rnacentral:rRNA from 1 species
GAUGAACGCUGGCGGCGUGCCUAACACAUGCAAGUCGAGCGAUUCUCUUCGGAGAAGAGCGGCGGACGGGUGAGUAACGCGUGGGUAACCUGCCCUGUACACACGGAUAACAUACCGAAAGGUAUGCUAAUACGAGAUAAUAUGCUUUUAUCGCAUGGUAGAAGUAUCAAAGCUUCGGCGGUACAGGAUGGACCCGCGUCUGAUUAGCUAGUUGGUAAGGUAACGGCUUACCAAGGCGACGAUCAGUAGCCGACCUGAGAGGGUGAUCGGCCACAUUGGAACUGAGACACGGUACAAACUCCUACGGGAGGCAGCAGUGGGGAAUAUUGCACAAUGGGCGAAAGCCUGAUGCAGCAACGCCGCGUGAGCGAUGAAGGCCUUCGGGUCGUAAAGCUCUGUCCUCAAGGAAGAUAAUGACGGUACUUGAGGAGGAAGCCCCGGCUAACUACGUGCCAGCAGCCGCCGUAAAAC